rnacentral:rRNA from 1 species
UACAGAGGUCCCAAGCGUUGUUCGGAUUUACUGGGCGUAAAGGGUGCGUAGGUGGCGGGGUAAGUUCGAUGUGAAAUCUCCGAGCUCAACUCGGAAAUGGCAUUGAAUACUAUCUUGCUUGAGGGUCGGAGGGGAGACUGGAAUUCUCGGUGUAGCAGUGAAAUGCGUAGAUAUCGAGAGGAACACCAGUGGCGAAGGCGAGUCUCUGGACGACUCCUGACACUGAGGCACGAAAGCUAGGGGAGCAAACAGG